rnacentral:lncRNA from 1 species
CUAUCUCUUGCAGUGGUGACAUGUGUGCGAGUGCACCAUCAAUUGACCCUUUAGAUCGGGAGCGGGCUUUUCUGGUUGGCUAGUGGGUGGACUGGUGGCGCCACUGUGCACGGAUAAAUACUUGUGGAGCACUUUUUUUUAGCCAGCUGGUGUCAC